rnacentral:lncRNA from 1 species
UAAAACAUUGAGCAAAGGUCAGAGCUGUCCAGUUCCAGCGUGAAUUUUCGUAAUUACUGUAGCAGUUUCGUUUUUACUGUUUUAAUUUCAUUUUCAGGCAUGGUGAAACCUUUUCAAACCCCCCCCACACUGUGUUAGACCUAAUUCUGAACCGUAGUUUGUCCUUGUGAGACUACCUAGGAGUCACUUCCUAGCUAUACUACAUUUCUAAUAUGCAAUCAAAUUUGAUUGGGCGGCGACACCCAUUAAAUUUUGGCGCCGUUGCCGGGGACCAACGGUUCGGUUUUAGGUCUUUUGUUGUGUUUGUGUGUGUUAUGUCUUGUCUUGUGUUGUGAGUGUGAUGCUGUUUUGUGUGUUCUUCAUUGUGUGUUGCAUUUAGAUAGCCUUAGUUGCAUAUUUUCAUUGCAUUUUUCUUUCCCCC